rnacentral:lncRNA from 1 species
CCCACACACACACCACGGCCUUCUGCUCCUCCCUCUCCUUUCUCUCUGCACCGAGACCCACAUACACCUCUCCUUUCUCUCUGGACCGAGACCCACAUACACCUCUCCUUUCUCUCUGCACCGACACCCACACGCACACCAUCGCACCUGCUCCGGCGAGUUCCUUCAAUUUCUCCGGUUAGGUAAGCUUGGGGUUUUUCUUUUUAUGUUCUAGAUCGAAGGUUAGAUGUCAAAUUGAAGUUCUAUCUCUUCUUUUUGCAAGGUUUUUGGGAUGAAUUCGACUCGGGAACAUGGAAACCCAUCUCCGGCGAGGCCGUGGGUGUCGACGAACUUUCCGAACACCUCCGGCCGUUUCACGGCAAACGGACGUUAUAAAAACGUUCCUCUCGUCUUCUAUUUCAUGUUCAUACCUAGAUCGGAGUCUAGGGGGUUGUUUUACAGUCGGCCGGAGCUGUAGAAGCUCCGGCGUUCGUCUCCGACUUGCACAUUUCUGACAUUUCGCGAUAAUAUCGCGAAAUUUUGCCGAAAACCCCUUGGAUACCACCUAAAAUAUCGGUGCACGAAAAAAACGAUAAUAUCG